UCCCUCAUAGCUCAGUAGGUAAAGAAUCUGCCUCCAAUGCAGGAGACCCAGGUUCAAUCUCUGGGUUGGGAA
rnacentral:tRNA from 1 species